UUAAAGACGAUGACGUUGAUAGGCCGGGUGUGUAAGCGCAGCGAUGCGUUGAGCUAACCGGUACUAAUGAACCGUGAGGCUUAACCUUACAACGCCGAAG
rnacentral:rRNA from 1 species